GACGAACGCUGGCGGCGUGCUUAACACAUGCAAGUCGAACGGAAAGGCCCUGCUUUUGUGGGGUGCUCGAGUGGCGAACGUGUGAGUAACACGUGAGUAACCUGCCCUUGACUUUGGGAUAACUUCAGGAAACUGGGGCUAAUACCGGAUAGGAGCUCCUGCUGCAUGGUUGGGGUUGGAAAGUUUCGGCGGUUGGGGAUGGACUCGCGGCUUAUCAGCUUGUUGGUGGGGUAGUGGCUUACCAAGGAUUUGACGGGUAGCCGGCCUGAGAGGGUGACCGGCCAAAUGGGGACUGAGAGACGGCACAGACUACUACGGGAGGCAGCAGUGGGGAAUAUUGCAGAAUGGGCGGAAGGCUGAUGCAGCAACGCCGCGUGAGGGAUGACGGCCUUCGGGUUGUAAACCGAUUUCGCAUGUGACGAAGAGUGAGUGACGGUAAUGGGUAAAGAAGCACCGGCUAACUACGUG
rnacentral:rRNA from 1 species